GAUGAACGCUAGCGAUAGGCUUAACACAUGCAAGUCGAGGGGCAGCACAAGGUAGCUUGCUCUCUGGGUGGCGACCGGCGCACGGGUGCGUAACGCGUAUGCAACUUGCCCUAUACAGGAGGAUAACCCGUCGAAAGACGGACUAAUACUGCGUAUGCUCACAACUUGGCAUCAAGUGGUGAGGAAAGAAAUUCGGUAUAGGAUAGGCAUGCGUCCCAUUAGCUUGUUGGUGAGGUAACGGCUCACCAAGGCAACGAUGGGUAGGGGAACUGAGAGGUUUAUCCCCCACACUGGUACUGCGACACGGACCAGACUCCUACGGGAGGCAGCAGUGAGGAAUAUUGGUCAAUGGGCGCGAGCCUGAACCAGCCAAGUCGCGUGAAGGAUGACUGUCUUAUGGAUUGUAAACUUCUUUUAUACGGGAAUAACAAGAGUCACGUGUGACUCCCUGCAUGUACCGUAUGAAUAAGCAUCGGCUAACUCCGUG
rnacentral:rRNA from 1 species